rnacentral:rRNA from 1 species
GACGUAGGGCGCGAGCGUUGUCCGGAUUUAUUGGGCGUAAAGAGCUCGUAGGCGGCUUGUCGCGUCGACUGUGAAAUCCCGCGGCUCAACCGCGGGUCUGCAGUCGAUACGGGCAGGCUAGAGUUCGGUAGGGGAGUCUGGAAUUCCUGGUGUAGCGGUGAAAUGCGCAGAUAUCAGGAGGAACACCAAUGGCGAAGGCAGAUCUCUGGGCCGUAACUGACGCUGAGGAGCGAAAGCAUGGGGAGCGAACAGG